GGUACACGAGCGGCGAACGGGUGAGUAACACGUGGGUGAUCUGCCUUGCACUUCGGGAUAAGCCUGGGAAACUGGGUCUAAUACCGGAUAUGACCACGGAAUGCAUGUUCUGUGGUGGAAAGAUUUAUCGGUGCGAGAUGGGCCCGCGGCCUAUCAGCUUGUUGGUGAGGUAACGGCCCACCAAGGCGACGACGGGUAGCCGACCUGAGAGGGUGACCGGCCACACUGGGACUGAGACACGGCCCAGACUCCUACGGGAGGCAGCAGUGGGGAAUAUUGCACAAUGGGCGAAAGCCUGAUGCAGCGACGCCGCGUGCGGGAUGACGGCCUUCGGGUUGUAAACCGCUUUUGACAGGGACGAAGCGCAAGUGACUGUACCUGUAGAAUAAGGACCGGCCAACUACGUGCCAGCAGCCGCGGUAAUACGUAGGGUCCGAGCGUUGUCCGGAAUUACUGGGCGUAAAGAGCUUGUAGGCGGUUCGUCGCGUCGUUUGUGAAAACUUGGGGCUCAACCUUAAGCUUGCAGGCGAUACGGGCGGACUAGAGUACUUCAGGGGAGACUGGAAUUCCUGGUGUAGCGGUGAAAUGCGCAGAUAUCAGGAGGAACACCGGUGGCGAAGGCGGGUCUCUGGGAAGUAACUGACGCUGAGAAGCGAAAGCAUGGGUAGCAAACAGGAUUAGAUACCCUGGUAGUCCAUGCCGUAAACGGUGGGUACUAGGUGUGGGGCUCCUUCCACGGACUCCGUGCCGUAGCUAACGCAUUAAGUACCCCGCCUGGGGAGUACGGCCGCAAGGCUAAAACUCAAAGAAAUUGACGGGGGCCCGCACAAGCGGCGGAGCAUGUGGAUUAAUUCGAUGCAACGCGAAGAACCUUACCUGGGUUUGACAUACACCGGAAACCUGCAGAGAUGUAGGCCCCCUUGUGGUCGGUGUACAGGUGGUGCAUGGCUGUCGUCAGCUCGUGUCGUGAGAUGUUGGGUUAAGUCCCGCAACGAGCGCAACCCUUAUCUUAUGUUGCCAGCGCGUAAUGGCGGGGACUCGUGAGAGACUGCCGGGGUCAACUCGGAGGAAGGUGGGGACGACGUCAAGUCAUCAUGCCCCUUAUGUCCAGGGCUUCACACAUGCUACAAUGGCCGGUACAGAGGGCUGCGAUACCGCGAGGUGGAGCGAAUCCCUUAAAGCCGGUCUCAGUUCGGAUCGGGGUCUGCAACUCGACCCCGUGAAGUUGGAGUCGCUAGUAAUCGCAGAUCAGCAACGCUGCGGUGAAUACGUUCCCGGGCCUUGUACACACCGCCCGUCACGUCAUGAAAGUCGGUAACACCCGAAGCCGGUGG
rnacentral:rRNA from 1 species